UGGUGACAUCACUGAAGAUUCUUGGGCUC
rnacentral:piRNA from 1 species